CGCUGGCGGCGUGCUUAACACAUGCAAGUCGAACGAUGAAAUUCUGACGGAGGCUUCGGUCAACUGAGGGAUGGAUUAGUGGCGGACGGGUGAGUAACGCGUGAGUAACCUGCCUUUCAGAGUGGAAUAACAUUUGGAAACGAAUGGUAAUACCGCAUAACGUCACGAGGUCGCAUGACCUUGUGACCAAAGGAGCAAUCCGCUGAAAGAUGGACUCGCGUCUGAUUAGCUAGUUGGUGAGGUAACGGCCCACCAAGGCGACGAUCAGUAGCCGGUCUGAGAGGAUGAACGGCCACAAUGGGACUGAGACACGGCCCAUACUCCUACGGGAGGCAGCAGUGGGGAAUAUUACACAAUGGGCGAAAGCCUGAUGCAGCAACGCCGCGUGAGGGAAGACGGUCUUCGGAUUGUAAACCUCUGUCUUUGGUGAAGAAGAAAGUGACGGUAACCAAGGAGGAAGCCACGGCUAACUACGUG
rnacentral:rRNA from 1 species